UACAGAGGGUGCAAGCGUUAAUCGGAAUUAUUGGGCGUAAAGGGCUUGUAGGCGGUUAGAUAAGUUAGGUGUGAAAACCCUGGGCUCAACCUGGGGCUGGCACUUAAUACUGUUUAGCUAGAGUAUAGGAGAGGAGAAGGGAAUUCCUGGUGUAGCGGUGAAAUGCGUAGAUAUCAGGAGGAACACCAGUGGCGAAGGCGCUUCUCUGGCCUAAUACUGACGCUGAGGAGCGAAGGCGUGGGGAUCAAACAGG
rnacentral:rRNA from 1 species